rnacentral:rRNA from 1 species
UACACACCGCCCGUCACACCAUGAAAGCUGGUUUUACCAGAAGUCGCUGUGCUAACCGCAAGGAGGUAAGCGCCCAAGGUAAGAUUAGUGAUUGGGGUG